UACGUAGGUGGCAAGCGUUGUCCGGAAUUAUUGGGCGUAAAGCGCGCGCAGGCGGUCUGUUAAGUCUGAUGUGAAAGCCCACGGCUCAACCGUGGAGGGGCAUUGGAAACUGGGAGACUUGAGUGCUGUAGAGGAGAGUGGAAUUCCAGGUGUAGCGGUGAAAUGCGUAGAUAUGUGGAGGAACACCAGUGGCGAAGGCGGCUCUCUGGGCUGUAACUGACGCUGAGGCGCGAAAGCGUGGGGAGCAAACAGG
rnacentral:misc_RNA from 1 species